UUUGUACUCCCUCCGUCUGAAAAAACUUGUCCCAAACUUGUUUCUUAAAUGGAUGUAUUUAGCACUAACUUGAUGCUAGAUACAUCCAUUUAAGGAACAAGCUUUUUCGGAUGGAGGGAGUACUAU
rnacentral:pre_miRNA from 1 species